GAUCAUGGCUCAGAUUGAACGCUGGCGGCAGGCCUAACACAUGCAAGUCGAACGGUAACAGAAAGAAGCUUGCUUCUUUGCUGACGAGUGGCGGACGGGUGAGUAAUGUCUGGGAAACUGCCUGAUGGAGGGGGGAUAACUACUGGAAACGGUAGCUAAUACCGCAUAACGUCGCAAGACCAAAGAGGGGGACCUUCGGCCGUCUUGCCAUCGGAUGUGCCCACGAUGGGAUUAGCUUGUUGGG
rnacentral:rRNA from 1 species